rnacentral:lncRNA from 1 species
UCUAACCUACCCAAAUCCCUUACCCUUUAAUAAAACCUAGAUAUAGAAGGAUGGGGAGGAGAUUUUUUAGAUCGCGAAUACCCAAAAAAUAGUGCAGCUUCCCCUUUGCUUUCUUUUUCGCUCCUCAUCUUCCACGGAGAGGUACAAAAUCUUCCAUCAUUUUAUAAAACCGUAGACCUAAGACCAACAGCAGAUCUCCCUCACCUCUCUCUUACAUGAAGAACAUACACCAAUACACAAAAGAGAAUGGAACUAGCACAAAACGAAAAAUGGGAAAUCGAAAAGGGAACUAAGUUUGGUUUUGGUCUCCGUACUUCUCUUAUCUGCUUUGUCAUUUUAGGUCUUUGAUAAGAAAUGCAGUCCAAUUUUAUUUCAAACUCGAAAAAUACAUAAAUAUAUUUCAGUUUUCGUUUGCGGUUUUCAAUCCUGGGGUUUAGUUGAAAUUUAAGGUUGGUUUGUUGUAUACGGUUUCAAGUUUGCUGUCCGAUUGCUGUGUUCGAGGUUGCCGCUGAGCUUUCGAGUCGCCGAUUCUGUUCGAGUUUUUUCCGGUGUAGUUGUGGCGGUUGUUUAAGUUUGAUUGUCGAUUCGUGUUCAAGCUUUGUACGCGGUUGGAAUUUCUGUCAAGUAAACAUAUGGUUUCGAUUAUUAAGGUUCGUCUCCAUUUUGUUUCUACUAUUUUUUGAAUAGCCUGAAAUCUAUAUAUUUGUUAUUAUGUUGCCUUCAUUAAUUGUUAAGUCAAUACCUGAUUCGAGUGUUCAUCAAUUUCUGAUAUUGGUUAGAUACUACUGUGCUUGAGAGCUUCUGUUUAUAUAACUUGGUUAAGAAAUUUAGGAGAUGGUGUUGUUUCCUUCUAGCAGCUCAAAACAUCUUCAGUGGCCAAAUAUCACGUCUUACUUUUCAUUUCCAUUUAAUUAAAGUAAGUCAAUUAAUCAUUUCCCUUUUUUUCAAAGAGAAAGAACAAAAUAAAGAGAUUUUUUCACAUUACAGAAGGAAAAUUUUGCCAUGCCUUCGAUAAGUGGACCUUUUUUUUUGGGAUUUUUCUCUAAGUGAUGUUUUAUUACUAUUUGUCGAGCUUCUAGUUUAUCUUUAAAUCUGGUAAUUUCCAGUGUCAAGCUCACGCAAUUAAUUAUGUGAGUAUUAGUCUUGAAGAGAAAAGUUGAAUAGGCUACUGACUUAGUCCAAAUUCUGUUGGGAUGGAAAACGAGCUUUCAUAUCCAUUUGUUAAUGUCCUUUAGUUUGGGAUCCAGUGGACCUUUCAUUAUCUGAUAAUAAGCAAAAAUGAGUAGAAAAACUAGACAAAUAUGGGCCAAUGUUUACGGGCUUAUUGGAUAAGAUGAUAUUUUGUUAUGCUUCUAGUUUUGUCUUAUUAGCUUUAUUUAUAACUAAUUAAUUUUGUCUUGUUCUUGUUAGUCAUGUGUGUUUUAUAAUUUGAUCUCAAAUUCGAAGUAUCGAUCGAUGGUAAUUAGAAUGAAAGAAUUUUGGGGGUUUGGAGUUACAUUGGGUUUGGGAUCAUUAGUCAGUUGAUUUCUUCUAAAAUAAUUUUUAUCUAUAAAUUCGUGAUAUUUGCAAUAAUCUCAACUUAGGAAUUGAGCAAAUUAUGAAAACCCACAGUUUGCUUUAGGCUCAAUUUUGACUAGUAUUGUGAUUAUGUAUAUGUUCGCGUAACAUAAUUGCAAAUUUAAUUCUAAAAAUGACUCGAGGGAUGCGUUCGCGCAACUUCAACCAAACUCUUCUUAAAUAAAUAAACAAAGCGUUAUUAAUUGUGGACACGUCUGCGUGACAUAAUUUUUGACGCGCCAAACAAAAGGGUAUACGUACGCGUAACUCAAUUCUUUAAUUGCGAAUAAUCAAUGAUUUAAAAGCGGUAGAAAGAUAAUUUCACAUAGGUUCUAAAACAAGUAAUUAAACAAUUUUAAUAAGCCAAGUAUGAUCAAAGCGACCGUGCUAGAACCACGGAACUCGGGAAUGCCUAACACCUUCUCCCGGGUUAACAGAAUUCCUUACCCGGAUUUUUGUGUUCGCAGAUCGUAAAUAGAGUCAACUUUCCUCGAUUCGGGAUUUUAAACCAGUGAAUUGGGACACCAUAAAAUUAUCCCAACUGGCGACUCUAAAUCUGUAAAUAAACAAAUCCCGUUUCGAUUGUCCUUUAAUUGGAAAAACUCUCUUAUAUUUAUACCCAUUAUGGGUUUGAAGGAAAAAGGAGGUGUGACACAGUCUAUCACCAAUAAUAUGCAAGAUAUCAAAAGCAUGCCUUAGGUGUAAAAACUAGUAGAACCUCAUUGUCGACUGUCGAGGAACUUUUUAUGCCGUAUUAUAAGUUUCCUUUUCUUACAGUUCCUGGGCUAAUUUACCUUUCCCUAUUAUUUUUGGUUGAAAUCUAACCCUAGGCUCCGCCAUUAGUGAGCUCGAGCAAGAGAAAUAAUAGAGAGAACGUUAGAGAGAGAAAGAAACUAGAAAAUGAGAAAAUCGUUUCUUAUGUUGCUUACUUAGCUGCAAAAUGAAAUGUACACCCCUUAUUAUACUAAUUAACAUAACUAAUCAUCUACUAACUUCCUUAAUUAAUCACCUUCUAGAAGAGUACUACAUAAAUACAGAGAUGUACAACUAUUUACAACUUCUAAUUUCAACAUUCCCCCUCAAGUUGAGAAUGAAAAAAUGUCUUUCAUUCCCAACUUAGAGAUUAAUGUUGCAUAUUGCUGAUGUCCUAGUGCUUUGAUCAUCCCUCCUUGAAUCUUCUCUCGGAUGAAAUGGCAGUCUAUUUCUAUGUGUUUUGUUCUUUCAUAAUACAUAGGAUUUACAACAAUUUGCAAUGCUGCUUUAUUAUCACAAAACAACUUCAUGGGCAGCUUUAGAUUUACACUCAGCUAUUCCAAUAGACAUUUCAACCACACAACUUCAGCUACUGUGUGUGCCAUGCUCCUAUACUCAGCUUCAGCUGAGCUUCUAGAUACAAUAUGCUUCUUCUUAGCUUUCCAGGAUAUGGUUGAAAUCCCAUGUUUAACACAACAUCCAGUAACAGAUUUUCUUGGCAUAGGACAUGAUGCCCAAUCUGAAUCACAGAAUGCUUCUAUUUCUUCAUUGUUGUCACUUGACAUUAACAGCCCCAACCCUGGUUGCUUCUUGAUGUACCUUACUACAUGAAUGUUGCUUCACAGUGAGAUUUCUUAGGUGCCUGCAUAAAUUGGCUUAGUGAGUACACUGCAUAUGAGAUAUCUGGCCUUGUUAUUGUUAGAUACAAAAGCUUUCCUAUGAGCCUUUAAUAAUUCCCACUGUCUUCCAGUGAUUCAUCUCCCUUACUUGUGUCUGUGAAAGUAUCAAACUCAGUGCUUAUCAGCUUCAAGUUCUACUCCAUUGUUGUCUCUUUAGGCUUAGAACUUGCCAAACCUGCAUCAGAAAUCAUCUCUAAUACAUAUUUUCUUUGAGUCAUAAGAAUUCCCUCUUUUGCUCUAGCAAAUUCUAUGCCUAAGAAAUAUCUGACUUCUCCAAGUUCUUUUAUUUUGAAGUGUUGAUGCAGAGACUUUUGUGCAUUUUUAAUUUCCUUUAGAUCAUCUACAUAGACCAAAAUCAAAACAAAUGUGUUAUCCACAUUUCUAGUAAACAAAAAAUAGUCACGCUUUCUUUGUUUAAAACCAGAUGAAGACAAGGCUUGAGAUAGCUUCACAUUCUAUUGCCUAGAAGCCUGCUUAAGCCCAUAAGAUUUAAGUAGCCUACAAUCCUUAUACUCCCCCUAGCUACUAAAUCCUUGGGAAAAAUUCAUGUAAACUUACUCUUCAAGAUCUCCAUUCAGAAAAGCAUUCUAAACAUCCAUUUGAAAGAUAGGGCAGUGCUUGUGUUACACCCCUCAAUAUUACGUCAAUAUUAUGUCCCGCAGUAUUAUACUACGACAAUGUUAUGCUCUGCGGUAAUAUGUUACGAUGAUGUUACCCUCUGCAGUAAUAUAUUAUGAUGAUGUUAUGUCCUGCAGUAAUAAAUUACGACAGUGCUGCACCCUGUAGUAUUACAUUACGGUGAUAUUGCGCUUCGCAGUAAUAAGUUACGACAGUGUUGCACCCAGCAGUAUUGUACGUUGAAUUUGUCGUAAGGUAAUUGACAUCAGUCCAAGGAAAAGAUUAUUUGGCGAUUAUUAGGAUUAUGUUAUUUCACAAGUGAUUAGUAAAUUUAUGAAGGUGAAAGGGGGAGCAAGUCAAAGAAAACGAAUUUUGCCAAAGUUUGGCAUUUUGGGAUAAAAUACGGCCCGAGCUAAAAUACCCGAUAAUUAUGAACUAGUACGAUACAUGGUACCAUACAAGUUACCACAUGGUCUUGAUAAAGAGGUGUAUAAGGUAUGCGAAAAGUGAGUAAUAUUUUAAGUAAGUGGGAAUAAUUCUCAAUUUUACGGGUAAUUGAUUAAUUACCGGGUAAUGGGACAAUACCUAAUUAAUUUCAAUUAUCCAAAAAACGUGGCAGCCCCUAUGCUAAUUAAAGUGACUCACUACUUUGAUGGAAAUGUUGCCAUAUUAAGUAACAAACACAUGUUUGGCUUUUCUACACACAUGAAACUUACGUUACUAUUUGAAUUAGUAACAAUUUAUCUUUCCAUUGACACAUGUAUUACCUGUAGAACAACGGGCUUCAACCUUUUCUUUCCAUCAUGGCUUUCACUUCAUUCCACAAAUUUUCAUUGUUCUUUCUUCAUUUGUGUUUUAGUUUUGUUCAACAUUCUCACCUCCUUGUUCCUUGAUGUUUUGUUUGUAUUCUUCUAUCCCCUAUCUCGUUGCUGUAGUCGUACAGUGAUUGGCAAUAAAGAUAUUCAUUCCUGAAUAUCUCAUUAUCUCCUAUAAACUUUAAUUUUUCCAUUGCUUCCUGAAUUCCCAAGAAUAUCAUACGGAUUUUUUCCUACUCCGAUCUUGCCGAUACGUGUUGUCGCUAUUUCCGUGUGUUAAAAGAUUGUCAAGAAAAUCGGCUCAGGUAUGUUAAGGCUACCCCUUCUUUCUUUUGGCUUGAUCCAUACCAUACGAACGAAACGUGCAAAUAAACAAAUUCCAUGAAUGACUCUAUUUAUAGAAGUAUUAGAGAUAUCUAUAUUCUUGAAUUUCCGUGUGUCAUAAUAUUUUAUCAUCUUUUCAUGGGUCUCAGAAAAAUAUGAAAGUUGAGAAAAAAAAAGUUUACUUUAUGAUAUUGCUCAAAGACAAAAUGGUCUUAUGAAAUUCUGAAAGAUUUUAUUAAUGUACUUUUCAUGCUUUGCAUUCAUGUGCAUUGACCCAUGACCAGAUAGUGUUAUAUAAACGUGUAUAUGUAAAUAUAUGUAAAUGGGAUAUGGGAAAAGGUUACGGCAUUAUAUACGCACCACCACCUGAUCAACCGAUAUAUGAUGAUGAUGUUGCCAACAGUGGCUGAAAUAUGAUUCAAACGGUGUUAUAUACGCGUAUAUAUGUAUGUAUAUAUAUGUAUAUGGGAUAUGGAAAGGUUAUGGCAUUAUAUACGCGCCACCACCUGAUCAGCUGGUAUACGAUGAUGAUUUUAUCCAUAGUGGCCGAUAUGAUAUGAUGGGAUGCCCUCAGAGGCUGAUGAUGUUAUGAAACAUAUACCUAUGCACGACAUGACAUUCAUACGCAUAUGCAUGAUGCUAAAAGUAAUUUAUGAUUUACAAGUUAUUUAGACUUAUAGGUUGAUUCAUGUACUCUAUAUUUUUUCCGUGUCUCUUAUGUUUUUAUUUAAGUGCCUCACAUACUAGGUACAUUAUUCGUACUGACAUCCCUUUUGCCUGGAGACGCUGCGUUUCAUGCACGUAGGUCCCGAUAGACAGGUUGAGAUCCCUCCAAGUAGGCUAUCAGCUCAGCGGAAGAUGUUGGUGUGCUUCAUUUGCGUCAGAGUUGCUCGUUUGGUUAGUAUGAUUUAGACGUGUAUUGUUUAGAAAGGCGGGACUCUAUCCCGACCUUUAUGACAUUUAUGUACUAUUAGAGGCUUGUAGACAUAUGUCGUGUAUAUAAAAGAUUGUACGGCCUAGUCGGCCUAUGUUUUGAGUUUAUAGAGGAUCAUGUUUGCCUAUUAGGCCCGUAUGUCAUGUGUUAUAAUGAUGUAAUAAGAAAUAUAUGUUACGUUGGUACUCGGUUGAGUAAGGUACCGGGUGCCCAUCGUGGCCCAUCGGUUUGGGUCGUGACAAAAGUGGUAUCAGAGCAGUUCUGUCUUAGGGAGUCUACAAGCUGUGUCUAGUAGAGUCUUGUUUAUGG